AGACAGAAAACCCAAAAACAAAUGAGAGCUAAUUUAAAAAAUCUGCAUGAGUUACCAAUCCAACCCAUCAUAAACCAAUUUAAGAUAAAGCCCAGGUGUGCAUAAAAUUGGAAGGAUGUCGAAAACCAUAACUACCUAUCACCACUAGAUAUUCCUUGUGUUGUGGCAGGCGUUAGAACAGAACCAGAUGAUAAAGCAGAAAGUUGAUCACUUUGAACUGAUGAAAGGUGAGGCAUCUGUCGUGGUGAAUCACUGCUACCGGAGCUAAUGGGAAGAGGGGAAUCAACUGUUGUGGUUGCAGCAGGAUCAGAAAUUGAUCCAGUAGGAUAAGGUGAAACAGAAGUGGUAGGAGAUGAAUUAUGAUGAGUUGGAAAUACUAAAAGUUGUGGACGGUGAUUGGUGGAUGAGUGAUUUCUUGAGCCCUCCCUUCGACCCACAUGGUGAGCUCUUCCCAUUGAAGCAGCAACAGCCAAAUGCUGAAGAAUGCGCUCUUCAAGUUCAGGAUCAUCAAUAUCCACAGGUAACUG